rnacentral:lncRNA from 1 species
UGGCUGCACAGUGUGCUUACUUCAUGCUCCUUCAUCACGGCGUGUUCUUGUUUUCCUAUGUAUGCUUUCUCGUUAGGGUCUUCUGGAGGAAAGACUCAACAGGAUGCAUGUGCAUAACCACACAAAGGGUCUGUUAAGUAGCUCACAGGACCCCAGUGAGGAGAGUUCACUGUGGGCCGCUGCACUCUGGAGAGCCCGAGGAUCCAGUGGCUGUUCAGCCUAAAGAGCUGAAACUGCAGGGCAGGAGGGGCCAAGGAGGCAGCACCAGUCCAAACCAAAGGCCCAGAAGCUCCUCGGCGAGUCACACUCUGAGUCUGUGUUGGACGCUGAACAAACCAGAGCCUGACAUCACAGGCGACAGCAGCAGCCAGACAGGACCGCCCAAACGGAACGGUGCUCCCAGGAAGACACAAGACCUCCUCCACCUUCCUCCGGUCUCUAAGCCGUGAGCCCAUUGGCUGGCACUGGGCACUGUCAGAGGGUCUGUGUCCAUUGCAGAAAGUCUGGGAUCUUGAAAAAGGGAUAAUGAAGAACAGCCUAUCAUCCUACCGCCCGUGUGUGUUACAAGGUUGGACAAUACUGCCUGUUACGUUGUACAAACGAACAUGAAGGAGCGGCUCCCGUUCAGGAGUGAGGGCCCGUGGGGAUGAAGAUACUCGGCCUGCUUGGACUGCUGGGCAGUGAGAGCCGGUUAAGCGAUGAUCGAGGCGCAGUGCACCAAGCUGUGUCUCAAGCUAGUCACGACUGCUGUUCUCAGAAGUCUAUCCAUCUGUCCGUCCGUCCGUCCACCCAUCCCACAACUCCUUUCUGAUCAAGAUGUCAAACUGAGCCACCAUCUAGAUAAGAUGGACCCAAAGUCCCUAUAUGGACUCAGCUUGACAUGACUGCAGCCAUCUUGAACUGUAGCUGUGUGAUUGGCCCUGAUCGACCCUGGUUGGUUUUCCUCACAGUUUACAAAACCGUUAGAAUGGUCUCUCUGCCGUUCUGUUUCUGCCUCAGAGCCGGCCGACCACGGACUGCAAUCGUGAGCCAAGGUAAAACUCUUGUGCUGUGGGUUGCAGGUGCUGGGCAUCGUGUGCAGUGAAGGGAGAGUGACUAAGACAGGCAGGCAUCAUCCUGGUGGCAGAGUUGGGUGGCCACCACAGGCCAGGUAAGUGCUGAAGAUGUCCCAGGCAGCUCACCUUGGGCCCAGCCUGCCUCGCCUGGGUUAAGUGUGGGACAGGUGGGUGGGCCCUGGAGGAGAGAAGAGACUCCAUGCAGAGAAUGCAGCAGGGCUCAGCACCGAGGCUGUCACUCAGGACCCGUCAGAGCCGCCUGCGCUUUGUCCACUGCAUGAAGCAGGGCUCGCUGCUGCAUCGAACACCUUGUUCUCAAAAGAAGAAAGAGAUGGGAAAGAAAACGCCCAGCGCCCGCUGGUGUCCGCAGAGUAAACGCUGCGUCGUGGCAGACUUCCAGCUGCCGAACGAACCCGGGCCCGGCUCCCGCCUUUCCCCUGCUCCCGUGGGUCACCUGGCUCCUGGCACUGGCAGCCUCAGACUCCUCUCUCGGUUUCCUCACUGACAUCUUUGCUUUUGAGAAGACCGAGGUGGCGGACACCUGACAGCCCCACGCCACUGACUUUGAAGGCGGAGGCGGGAGGAGGCAAACCCGGCGGCCACCGCUCACUAGAUCUGGGCCGCUGCCUCCUCAGGCCUCGACCUUCCGCGCUCACCCGGAAACUGGCGGGAGACACUGUGGACAAGGACUCGCCGGGAGCGCAGCCACUGGCAGUGUCUGAAGAGACACUGUCUGCCGAAGAAGCCCCGGCUCCGCGAGAGUCCCCGUGACCCUUUUCUGUUUCCCAAGGAAGAUCAAUCCUCCCCAUUGCUCCUGGAAGGAAAUCAGAAGGGCGUUCUCUGGGCAGAACGACGAUGCUGCUGCCCAGUGGUGAUCGGUGGGUCACAGGGACGGGGCUGGGUCUGCCUGUGGCCGGCGACACUCUGACGCGUGCGCAUUGCCCCUGGCCUGCGUUCCCGGCCCACUGUCCUUCAUGGGGACUCAGCCCCGCCUGGGCUCCAGGUGCGACAGGCAGCGAGGGCCACUGCCGGCUCCGGCUCCCUGAGGCGCGGGCUGGGGCGCCUGUCCAGGUGGGGCCCACAUCCCCCUCCCACCUGCCCCUCUUCCGCUUGGGGUCCGCCCACCUCAGAACUGCUCAGGACAGCUGCUCUGUUUCUUGGGGACGCUCAGUGGCCCUGGUGACCAGCCAGGGCUGCAGCACCCGCGCCUUCGCCACUGCUGGCCGGCCUCAUCCACAGCAGAAGGGACCUGUGCCCCUCUCGGAGGGAAGGGGCGCCGAGGACAGGACUUAGGGCUCCCCUUCCAGGCAGAGGAGAAAACAAACUGAUUUUUCGCCAACGAUGUCCUCGAAGAAACCUUCUUUGUUUUCUGGCACAGCCUGCGGGAUUUUCGGUUCGGCACGGGUUUUGCCCGAGGGAUGCCGUUCCCUGUGCCGCAGCCCCAGCGUGCCUGUCCCCGGGAGGGGCGUGCUUGCUGGGAGGAAAUGCCCCUCUUUCCGAGGGGACGCGCCCGCGCCUCCCACUCUGUCUGCUGAGGAGACUGCGGGGCUCUGGGUGUGGCGCGGGCGCAGAGGGCGAGGAAGGGCUGUUUCCCUCUGUGUCUCCACCUCGCCUGUCCAGCAGGACCAGGAGGCUGCGGGAGCCGAGCGCGGAAGAGGCCGCCGAGCGAGCGGAGCCGCCGGGAGCGUCUGGCAAGGGGCGAGGGGUCGCCAGGGCGACCGGUGCCUGGAGACGGGAGGCCCCGCCGGCCGCCGGAAGGAGACGCUUUUGUGGCGGGGAGGCGUCUCCCUGCACGUGGAAGGGCCGAGGCUCCCUCGCCCCGCCUGGGUUGGGCCGAUCCCUGGGAGUGGGGAAGAUCGAACCUGCUCGGCGCUCAGCCGUCUCGGGUGGGCGUCCGCGGGGCAGACGGCUGCGCCGGCUUCUGCGUCGCCCCAGGCUGGGGCCCAGGGCUGCAGAUCGAGUCCGCGCCAGGCAGGGCCGGGCGCAGGACUGCGCCGAUGCUGAGGCGCGAGGGCAGCGCAGGGUGGCGGGGCCCUGCAGAGCGGACGCGGACGCGGCCUUGUCUCAGGGGCGAUGCUCGCUCUGGGACUGGGCUGGUUCCGUGACGCAGGUGGAGACAAAGCGGUUCGGUCUCCUCAGCUCGCGCUCUUGCUUCGCUUCCUGCCCCGUGGCGUCUCUGUCCCCUCCCUUCCCCGCCACGUGAUGCCAUGGCCAGAAGCCGGCGCUGGACCUCCAGACCUGUGAGCGGCGUAAACCCCUUUUUCUGUAAAACAGCGGUCUCUGGUACUUCGUCACGGUAAUGGGAAACAGACUGAGAUGCACUGCAGCCAACGACUUCCAGGAGCUUAGUGGCCGAAGAAAAAUGAAUGUUUAUUCUCAUUCGUGUCGCUGUCCAGUGGGUCGAUGGUGGGGUCAGGCUCUCGGCCUAAGUACUUCAGAGACCCGGCCUUCUGCUGCCUGGUGGCUGUGCUUCCAUCCAGGGCCCAGCCGCCUCUCCACUCAGCGGGCAAACGUGAACGAAAUGCUUGCGGGAGGGUUUAUGGGCCAACCUUAGGGUUGUGCAUGACUUCCCACAUCUCGUUCGCAAAGCUCAGUCGUGUGAGCCUAGUGACUUUGUAAGUCACAUGACUUACACCUAGUUAUAAGACAGCCGAGAGAGGCAGCGCGGUUGUGCCCAGAGCAGGGAGAGGGCAGCCAUGGAUGGGUAACAGGUGCACCUGCUGGUUGGGGAGACUGGGCCAGAUCGAAGAGUCACUGCUUCUGUCACCUGCAAGGACUGGCUGCAUUUUAAGUAACAAGGGCGCUGUUCUAAUUUUCUCCCUGACAUGUUUUCUUCAGAACUCUAUUGGGGAAGUAAAAGCCUGUUUUGACGCCCUCAAUUCCAACAUUCAGUGCGUGGUCUAGAAACUAGGAAAUAAAAUACAGAAGUUGCGAUGAAUUUUGGACUUUAAUAUUCUUUGAACUUUAAAUCACAAGGGAAUGAGAAUAUGAUUUUGGACUUUAAUAUCUUUGUACUUUAACUUAAUGACUGAAUUUAAUCAUUGAACUUCAAGGUUUUUCCCCAGAAUAGUCAUGAUGAGAAGGAGUUGCUAUUCAAAUUCGGGACAUCUUAUCAUGGGCAUUUUGUUGCUGGAGUAUCCUAACAUUGUCAUUGAAUUUCAUGUGGGACAUUUCAUGAUCUACAUUUCGAGGAGCACGUAACCUAUCACCCACACUGAAACAGUUUUGAAAGAGAAGGAGGCUGCGUUAGUAAUUGUGCUGGAACAACCGGAAACCAGGACUGCUUUGGGUGCAGUGGGAUAUAGUGAGGAAGGACGGAGUUAGGAAGGAGAAAUGAAGUGUGGGAUAGUGUGAUAGAUUUUUUAUUCUAGCCUUGUGAUAGAUUUAAAUAGUCAAAUUUUCGGAGGCAGAAACAGUCUUAGGGCGAGCAUUCUCACAGUGCCCAACGGACCCCCAGGGAGCUGUAGCGCGGGGUCAGAGAAACCGCACUAGGUAUUUCAGACGGAG